rnacentral:lncRNA from 1 species
AGGAAUCGGGCUGGAGAUAGAGAGAUAUGAUUUGAUUUUUUUUUUUUUUUAAAUUUUGUGCGAAAAUACAUUUUUGCCCAUGUCAAGUAGAACUUGUCAAUGCCAUGUCAUCAUUUUUAACAAAAAAUUUGAUAGAGAUGACGGCAAGGACGGUUUCUGUAACUGGAAGCAUAAUUAAAGUACGACAGUAACAAUUUAUCAAUGUGAGGGACGAAAAGUAAAGUUGGAGUAUAGUCCAAGGACAAUUGCUACAAUUUUACCUAACUCAUUUCAUCUGCUCAAG